rnacentral:rRNA from 1 species
GGGUAGAGUAAUGCGUGACCAACCUGCCCAUGCUCCAGAAUAGCUCUUGGAAACGGGUGGUAAUGCUGGAUGCUCCAACUUGACGCAUGUCUUGUUGGGAAAGUGUUUAGUGGCAUGGGAUGGGGUCGCGUCCUAUCAGCUUGUAGGCGGGGUAAUGGCCCACCUAGGCUUCGACGGGUAGCCGGCCUGAGAGGGCGGACGGCCACAUUGGGACUGAGAUACGGCCCAGACUCCUACGGGAGGCAGCAGAG